UACGUAGGGGGCAAGCGUUGUCCGGAAUCAUUGGGCGUAAAGAGCGUGUAGGCGGCUCGAUAAGUCUGCUGUGAAAGCCCCGGGCUCAACCUGGGAAUGGCGAUGGAAACUGGCGGGCUGGAGUAUGGCAGAGGGGGGUGGAAUUCCGCGUGUAGCAGUGAAAUGCGUAGAGAUGCGGAGGAACACCGAUGGCGAAGGCAGCCCCCUGGGCCAAUACUGACGCUCAGGCACGAAAGCGUGGGGAGCAAACAGG
rnacentral:rRNA from 1 species